GACGAACGCUGGCGGCGUGCUUAACACAUGCAAGUCGAACGAUGAAGCCGGAGCUUGCUCUGGUGAAUUAGUGGCGAACGGGUGAGUAACGCGUGAGUAACCUGCCCUUGACUCUGGGAUAACUGCGGGAAACUGUAGCUAAUACCGGAUACGACCCUCGGAGGCAUCUCCUGGGGGUGGAAAGAAUUUCGGUCAAGGAUGGACUCGCGGCCUAUCAGCUAGUUGGUGAGGUAAAGGCUCACCAAGGCGACGACGGGUAGCCGGCCUGAGAGGGUGACCGGCCACACUGGGACUGAGACACGGCCCAGACUCCUACGGGAGGCAGCAGUGGGGAAUAUUGCACAAUGGGCGGAAGCCUGAUGCAGCAACGCCGCGUGAGGGAUGACGGCCUUCGGGUUGUAAACCUCUUUUAGCAGGGAAGAAGCGAAAGUGACGGUACCUGCAGAAAAAGCACCGGCUAACUACGUGCCAGCCGCCGCGGUAA
rnacentral:rRNA from 1 species